UGCACAUACGCUGACGAGUGGCGGACGGGUGAGUAAUGCUUGGGAACUUGCCUUUGCGAGGGGGAUAACAGUUGGAAACGACUGCUAAUACCGCAUAAUGUCUUCGGACCAAACGGGGCUUCGGCUCCGGCGCAAAGAGAGGCCCAAGUGAGAUUAGCUAGUUGGUAAGGUAACGGCUUACCAAGGCGACGAUCUCUAGCUGUUCUGAGAGGAAGAUCAGCCACACUGGGACUGAGACACGGCCCAGACUCCUACGGGAGGCAGCAGUGGGGAAUAUUGCACAAUGGGGGAAACCCUGAUGCAGCCAUGCCGCGUGUGUGAAGAAGGCCUUCGGGUUGUAAAGCACUUUCAGUUGUGAGGAAAAGUUAGUAGUUAAUACCUGCUAGCCGUGACGUUAACAACAGAAGAAGCACCGGCUAACUCCGUGCCAGCAGCCGCGGUAAUACGGAGGGUGCGAGCGUUAAUCGGAAUUACUGGGCGUAAAGCGCACGCAGGCGGUUUGUUAAGCUAGAUGUGAAAGCCCCGGGCUCAACCUGGGAUGGUCAUUUAGAACUGGCAGACUAGAGUCUUGGAGAGGGGAGUGGAAUUCCAGGUGUAGCG
rnacentral:rRNA from 1 species